rnacentral:rRNA from 1 species
ACGCUCAGGUGCGAAAGCGUGGGGAGCAAACAGGAUAGAUACCUGGUAGUCACGCUGUAAACGAUGUCGAUUUGGAGGUUGUUCCCUUGAGGAGUGGCUUCCGGAGCUAACGCGUUAAAUCGACCGCUGGGGAGUACGGCCGCAAGGUUAAAACUCAAAUGAAUUGACGGGGGCCCGCACAAGCGGUGGAGCAUGUGGUUUAAUUCGAUGCAACGCGAAGAACCUUACCUACUCUUGACAUCCAGAGAAUUUAGCAGAGAUGCUUUAGUGCCUUCGGGAACUCUGAGACAGGUGCUGCAUGGCUGUCGUCAGCUCGUGUUGUGAAAUGUUGGGUUAAGUCCCGCAACGAGCGCAACCCUUAUCCUUUGUUGCCAGCACAUUAUGGUGGGAACUCAAAGGAGACUGCCGGUGAUAAACCGGAGGAAGGUGGGGAUGACGUCAAGUCAUCAUGGCCCUUACGAGUAGGGCUACACACGUGCUACAAUGGCGUAUACAAAGAGAAGCGACCUCGCGAGAGCAAGCGGAACUCAUAAAGUACGUCGUAGUCCGGAUUGGAGUCUGCAACUCGACUCCAUGAAGUCGGAAUCGCUAGUAAUCGUAGAUCAGAAUGCUACGGUGAAUACGUUCCCGGGCCUUGUACACACCGCCCGUCACACCAUGGGAGUGGGUUGCAAAAGAAGUAGGUAGCUUAACCUUCGGGAGGGCGCUUACCACUUUGUGAUUCAUGACUGGGGUGAAGUCGUAACAAGGUAACCA